AUUGAGAAGGGCUGUCCCUAGUACGAGAGGACCGGGACGGACGAACCUCUGGUGUGCCAGUUGUUCUGCCAAGGGCAUGGCUGGUUGGCUACGUUCGGGAGGGAUAACCGCUGAAAGCAUCUAAGCGGGAAGCCUGCUUCGAGAUGAGUGUUCCCACCUCCUUGAGAGGGUAAGGCUCCCAGUAGACGACUGGGUUGAUAGGCCGGAUAUGGAAGCCCUGUAAGGGGUGGAGUUGACCGGUACUAAUAGGCCGAGGGCUUGUCCUCAGUUG
rnacentral:rRNA from 1 species